UACGUAGGGGGCAAGCGUUGUCCGGAUUUAUUGGGCGUAAAGAGCUUGUAGGCGGUCUGUCGCGUCUGCUGUGAAAAUCCGAGGCUCAACCCCGGACUUGCAGUGGGUACGGGCAGACUAGAGUGUGGUAGGGGAGACUGGAAUUCCUGGUGUAGCGGUGAAAUGCGCAGAUAUCAGGAGGAACACCGAUGGCGAAGGCAGGUCUCUGGGCCACUACUGACGCUGAGAAGCGAAAGCAUGGGGAGCGAACAGG
rnacentral:rRNA from 1 species